AGAAAAGCAGGGGAUCGCAAGACCUUGCGCUUUUGGAGCGGCCGAUGUCUGAUUAGCUAGUUGGUGAGGUAAAGGCUUACCAAGGCUUCGAUCAGUAGCUGGUCUGAGAGGACGACCAGCCACACUGGGACUGAGACACGGCCCAGACUCCUACGGGAGGCAGCAGUGGGGAAUUUUGGACAAUGGGGGAAACCCUGAUCCAGCCGUGCCGCGUGAGUGAAGAAGGCCUUCGGGUUGUAAAGCUCUUUCAGCCGGAACGAAAAGGUUACGGUUAAUACCCGUGACUAAUGACGGUACCGGAAGAAGGAGCACCGGCUAACUACGUGCCAGCAGCCGCGGUAAUACGUAGGGUGCGAGCGUUAAUCGGAAUUACUGGGCGUAAAGCGUGCGCAGGCGGUUUUGUAAGUCAGAUGUGAAAUCCCCGGGCUCAACCUGGGAACUGCGUUUGAAACUACAAGGCU
rnacentral:rRNA from 1 species